UUAAGACGAACAGAAGAUUUUG
rnacentral:miRNA from 1 species